GUUGAUACAAAUUUCUCUUGAUCGUAAUGCAUUUGGAACUUUUGGAAAACCUGCGGCUGGGAGCUGAUUGUUCUCGAUCAAGUCCAGUGCUGAACCCCCAAAUGGAUUGCAAGGAUCAAAGGAACGUUUUGGAAAACCUGGAGACUGCAAAUCUGAGACGAAAUUCUACUCAAAAUCCGUUUUGGAGCUUGUUCUAUCUGUUCAUGGUGAAUCAAGUCCGUUUUGUUCUGCUUGCACUUUCAUUUUGAAUUUUUGCAUAUUUUUUAUUCUUUUCGAUGUAUAUUGUUUUCUAAUGGGCAUUU